GCACCCGUAGCUCAGCUGGAUAGAGCGCUGCCCUCCGAAGGCAGAGGCCACAGGUUCGAAUCCUGUCGGGUGCA
rfam:Loktanella atrilutea strain DSM 29326 genome assembly, contig: Ga0131175_101